rnacentral:tRNA from 1 species
GGGGCCGUAGCUCAGUUGGGAGAGCGCGACGUUCGCAACGUCGAGGUCAGGGGUUCGACUCCCCUCGGCUCCACCA